AUUGAACGCUGGCGGCAGGCCUAACACAUGCAAGUCGAGCGGAUGACGGGAGCUUGCUCCUUGAUUCAGCGGCGGACGGGUGAGUAAUGCCUAGGAAUCUGCCUGGUAGUGGGGGACAACGUUUCGAAAGGAACGCUAAUACCGCAUACGUCCUACGGGAGAAAGCAGGGGACCUUCGGGCCUUGCGCUAUCAGAUGAGCCUAGGUCGGAUUAGCUAGUUGGUGGGGUAAUGGCUCACCAAGGCGACGAUCCGUAACUGGUCUGAGAGGAUGAUCAGGCACACUGGAACGGAGACACGGUCCAGACUCCUACGGGAGGCAGAAGUGGGGAAUAUUGGACAAUGGGCGAAAGCCUGAUCCAGCCAUGCCGCGUGUGUGAAGAAGGUCUUCGGAUUGUAAAGCACUUUAAGUUGGGAGGAAGGGCAGUAAGCUAAUACCUUGCUGUUUUGACGUUACCGACAGAAUAAGCACCGGCUAACUCUGUGCCAGCCGCCGCAGUAAUAC
rnacentral:rRNA from 1 species